rnacentral:rRNA from 1 species
UACGAAGGGGGCUAGCGUUGCUCGGAAUCACUGGGCGUAAAGGGUGCGUAGGCGGGUCUUUAAGUCGAGGGGUGAAAUCCUGGAGCUCAACUCCAGAACUGCCUUUGAUACUGAAGAUCUUGAGUUCGGGAGAGGUGAGUGGAACUGCGAGUGUAGAGGUGAAAUGCGUAGAUAUCGCUUGGAACGCCAACGGUGAAAACAGGUUGCUGGGGUUGUGCCGACGCUGAGACACGAAAGCCAGGGGAGCAAACGGG